UGAGCAACCUGCCCUUGACUCUGGAAUAACAGUUGGAAACAGCUGCUAAUACCGGAUAUGACUCUGUGUGACAUCACACGGAGUGGAAAGCCCUGGCGGUCAAGGAUGGGCUCGCGGCCUAUCAGCUUGUUGGUGAGGUAACGGCUCACCAAGGCUUCGGACGGGUAGCCGGCCUGAGAGGGCGACCGGCCACACGUGGGACUGAGAUACCGGCCCAGACCUCGUACGGGGAGG
rnacentral:rRNA from 1 species